AUUGUUCAAUGCAAGGGUUUGGUUCAAGUAGUUCUUGCUAAAUCACUCGUUCUUUUUUCAUUUGAGAGUGGUGAAAUGUUAUCAUAUUUUGGUUGGUUCGGUUUUGGUGAUAUAAAAAGUUUUUUUUGAUAGAUUAUAAUAAUUAUCUUAAUUGGAAAGUAGAAUCUACUUUUAAAAGCAAAUUACGCUCUAUGUUUGCUAAUUUCAAGCGUUAUUGUUAUAAGUCUGAACGCUUGUGUAUUUAUGAAAACUGUAUCAUAUGCUUAACGACUGCUUUCCAACUGAGAAGGCAAACUAUUUAUUUUUAUUAAUUUGAAAAAUAGAAUUCAAUAUGAUACACAAAGAGUUUUCAAGUUAAAUGUAACUUCAUAUC